CAAAGGCUUGGUCCUGACUUUACCAUCAACUUUAACCCAAUUUAUACAUGCAAGCAUCCGCACCCCUGUGAGAAUGCCCUCAACCCCCCUCUCGGGGGUGAGGAGCGGGCAUCAGGCACACCCUUCCGCCCAAGACGCCUUGCUAUGCCACACCCCCAAGGGAAAUCAGCAGUAAUAAACAUUAAGCCAUAAGUGAAAGCUUGACUUAGUUAUGGUUAACAGGGCCGGUAAAAUUCGUGCCAGCCACCGCGGUUAUACGAAAGACCCUAGUUGAUGUCCACGGCGUAAAGGGUGGUUAAGGAACUAAUAAAAUAAAACCAAAGGUCUUCUAAGCUGUCAUACGCACCGCGAAGAUACGAAGCCCAAAUACGAAAGUAGUUUUAGACAAUUUUAAACCUGACCCCACGAAAGCUAAGAAACAAACUGGGAUUAGAUACCCCACUAUGCUUAGCCUUAAACCCAGAUGUAUCAUUACACACACAUCCGCCCGGGUACUACGAGCACAGCUUAAAACCCAAAGGACUUGGCGGUGUCUCAGACCCACCUAGAGGAGCCUGUUCUAGAACCGAUAAUCCUCGUUAAACCUCACCACUUCUUGUCUUAUCCGCCUAUAUACCGCCGUCGUCAGCUUACCUUGUGAAAGCCUAUAACAGUAAGCAAAAUUGGCAAACCCAAAAACGUCAGGUCGAGGUGUAGCGUACGAAGUGGGAAGAAAUGGGCUACAUUUUCUAAUAAUAGACUACUACGAAUAGCACCCUGAAACGAGUGCCUAAAGGUGGAUUUAGCAGUAAAAAGUAAACAGAGAGUUCUUUUGAAUCAGGCUCUGAGACGCGCACACACCGCCCGUCACCCUCCCCCACACACAAUAACACAAUUUCAUAAUAGCACAACACAAAACAAGGGGAGGCAAGUCGUAACAUGGUAAGUAUACCGGAAGGUGUACUUGGAAUAAU
rnacentral:ncRNA from 1 species